rnacentral:rRNA from 1 species
AGUGAACGCUGGCGGUAGGCCUAACACAUGCAAGUCGAACGGCAGCACAGGAGAGCUUGCUCUCUGGGUGGCGAGUGGCGGACGGGUGAGGAAUACAUCGGAAUCUACUCUGUCGUGGGGGAUAACGUAGGGAAACUUACGCUAAUACCGCAUACGACCUACGGGUGAAAGCAGGGGAUUUUCGGACCUUGCGCGAUUGAAUGAACCGAUGUCGGAUUAGCUAGUUGGCGGGGUAAAGGCCCACCAAGGCGACGAUCCGUAGCUGGUCUGAGAGGAUGAUCAGCCACACUGGAACUGAGACACGGUCCAGACUCCUACGGGAGGCAGCAGUGGGGAAUAUUGGACAAUGGGCGCAAGCCUGAUCCAGCCAUACCGCGUGGGUGAAGAAGGCCUUCGGGUUGUAAAGCCCUUUUGUUGGGAAAGAAAUCCAGCUGGCUAAUACCCGGUUGGGAUGGCGGUACCCAAAGAAUAAGCACCGGCUAACUUCGUGCCAGCAGCCGCGGUAA